rnacentral:rRNA from 1 species
AGCAGCCGCGGUAAUUCCAGCUCCAAUAGCGUAUAUUAAAGUUGUUGCAGUUAAAAGCUCGUAGUUGAAUUUCGGGGUUCUACCGUUGGUCGGGCUUUGUCUGUACUGGCGUGUAGAAUUUCUACCUUCUGGGGAACUAUCAUGUUAUUAAUUUAGCGUGGUAGGAAACCAGAACCUUUGCCUUGAGAAAAUUAGAGUGUUCAAAGCAGGCUUAUGUCUGAAUACAUUAGCAUGGAAUAAUAAAAUAGGACGGUGGUCCUGUUUUGUUGGUUUCUGAAUCACCGUAAUGAUUAAUAGGGAUAGUUGGGGGCAUUAGUAUUCAAUUGUCAGAGGUGGAAUUCUUGGAUUUAUUGAAGACUAACUACUGCGAAAGCAUUUGCCAAGGAUGUUUUCAUUAAUCAAGAACGAAAGUUAGGGAUCGAAGACGAUCAGAUACCGUCGUAGUCUUAACCAUAAACUAUGCCGACUAGGGAUCGGAUGAUGUUAAUUUUUAAUGUACUCAUUCGGCGUCCGUUACGGG